UACAGCAUGGUGUAGUGGUUUGAGCAUUGGACUAUGAUUCUGGAGACCAGGGUUUGAAUCCCUGCUUAGCAA
rnacentral:tRNA from 1 species